UACAGAGGGGGCAAGCGUUGUUCGGAAUUACUGGGCGUAAAGGGCGCGUAGGCGGCCUGCUAAGUCGAACGUGAAAUCCCUGGGCUCAACCCAGGAACUGCGUCCGAUACUGGUUGGCUUGAAUCCGGGAGAGGGAUGUGGAAUUCCAGGUGUAGCGGUGAAAUGCGUAGAUAUCAGGAGGAACACCGGUGGCGAAGGCGUUCAUCUGGCCCAAUACUGACGCUGAGGCGCGAAAGCUAGGGGAGCAAACGGG
rnacentral:rRNA from 1 species